rnacentral:tRNA from 1 species
ACCUGGCCGGCUCAGCGGGUAAAAGCAUGAGACUCUUGAUCUCAGGGUCAUAAGUUUGAGCCCCAUGUUGGGUG